rnacentral:rRNA from 1 species
UACGUAGGGUGCGAGCGUUAAUCGGAAUUACUGGGCGUAAAGCGUGCGCAGGCGGCGCGUUAAGACAGGUGUGAAAGCCCCGAGCUUAACUUGGGAAUUGCGCUUGGGACUGCAAGGCUGGAGUGCGGCAGAGGAGACUGGAAUUCCUGGUGUAGCAGUGAAAUGCGUAGAUAUCAGGAGGAACACCGAUGGCGAAGGCAGGUCUCUGGGCUGACACUGACGCUCAUGCACGAAAGCGUGGGGAGCAAACAGG